rnacentral:lncRNA from 1 species
GGUUGCUGUUGGUUUUGCUGGGUUUGGGUCACGUGGGCACUGUGUUUGAAAGCCGGUAGUUUAUAUAAGGGGUGGUCUCACCUGCACUGGGGUGGAGAGGUGAGCCUAGGUAGCCGUAUUCUUUGUUGACUGGGCUUCAUGUUCUUUUUUGCAAUGAUACGUGUCGCAAAUUGUACACAUAUUAUAUCCGAUAUACGCAUGUAAAUCAUUGGCAACUAUGGAAGCGUUUUUUCUGUUAUUAAAGCUCCAGAAAACUUAGACCAACCUAUCCUCUGCCUCAAGCGACUUUUUUAAAGGUACUAGAAAAGCCCAGUAAUAUUCAUCUAAUUGAACAGUUUUGCACCGUGUCAGAGCUGCGUAAGAAAAUGAAGAUAUCAAGGUAGGAUGUUUACGUUUCAGAUCUGAUAGGUUUCUUAUUGGCAGAUUUCUGGUGAACAAAAAGAAGUAAAACCUUUAAAGAGGUUCUUGCUUGUUGACACUGAGUUAGCUGGGCCGCAUUGAGGCAAGUCUCCAUUUAACUUUAGUUCAGUUCAGUUUGUUCCUCUUUAUAAAAAACACACAGUUUAUGACCUGUUACAGUGCUUUGGGAAUUGUGGAGUACAGAAUAUAUAUAGCUGUUUUCUUGUUUUCUAUAGUGAAAAAGCUGCUUGAGUGGCACAGAAAUGAAGUAGUGGGUUGAAAGUUAAUAACACAGGGAGUCUGAGUCUGCUGCUUUGGGACUCCCGGGGACUUUUCAUCUGAUAAUCCAUCUACAAAUUAAUCCCUGUCUACUUCAAAUGAAGAGGGGCUUUAGGAUUAGUUCUUUGAAGUUUGAAAAGGGGACCUCUGAGCAUUCAGUGCAGGCCAUUGCUCCCUUUAAUUGUCCAUAUGCGGCGAUUUCAAUGUUUAAAGUUCAUUUCCAUGUGAUCGCUCUAACAGGCCAAUCCUGAGGGUUCACAGUCCCUCAAUCUACAUGCAGAUUAUUUCACAAUCCCUCUGAGCUUUCUCCAAAUCUGCUGUCACUUCUGAAUAAUCAGGUUGUAUCAGCAUCGCUGCAUGCUUACAUGAUUUAAAAUUGGCUAAAUACCAUUAGGGUUUCUUGCUUGUCUCUAAUGUAACGUGUGGGUAAAAUCGUCCUCCGGCUCACCGGUGUGAUAAUUGAAUUUAACUCAGUGCUCACUCAAAGCUGGUGUCAAGUGUUAUGAAUAAAAGGGCCCUCACCUGAAUGAAGAGGGCUGUUUAAUGCUUCUUCAGGCACAUCAAACAUUGGCUGUAAGAGAGAGUGGGGGGCGGGUGGAGCGAGCUGCUGUUUCCUGCUGCAUUGUGGAGGUGGGAUGGAUAAUUACCAGCGGCCUUCUCUCUGAUUAGUAAUCUGAUGAGACUGCAGAGCCAUAAGCAGAGACAGCACAGCCACCCACCUGAUUUUAAAUGACAGUGCAGGCCUCCGCUGUCAGUUUGUAUCCUUCACAAAUGUUCGGGGAAAUGUAUCUGCAGUGUGGCUGUAAUCACGACAGAAAAAGUCACAUUUUGAAGUUGACAUUUGAGCUGCAUUAAAUAUGUAAGUAUAAAAGAUGGGAGCAAAAUUUAGAGCUGGUUCAGGGAGGAAAUCUGCCUCGUCUUCAUGGGUCGAUGACUUACUUCUGUGCUGGUUCAAAAGAGGCCCGGUGGAUAAUACACUUACUCUGUUUAGGUACUUGAUACAAGUAUUUACGUAGAGACUAGGAAGGUAAACAUGCAGCUUGCACGAAUCAUGCAACUUUUCCAGUUCAAGUAAUUUGUACGAGCCAAAGAUUUCAAACACAAAUGCAAAAGUCUGCAAUUGUAUUAUUUUUCGACCUCCAAAAGUUGCUCCAGAGACUUUAAAACUAAUGGCUAAUGACCCCUUUGUUUUAAUUUUCAGUGUGCAACAACAAGGCAAGUUUAUUUGUAUAGUACCAUUCAUACACAAGGCAAUUUAAAGGGCUUUACAGAUGCAAGGAAAUACAUAAAAAAUGUAAAAAGGAGAGAUUAAAACAAUUUAAAAUCAAAAACACAAACAGAUACAUUUUUUUGUCUGUUCACUAUUUUCCCUGAACAACAUGAAAACCAUAAUUUCCCAGAAAAAAUAAAAUAAAAUACACAAGCUUUCAGACCCAGGGCUCCCCUGAUGGUAGACCAACAUUUACCCCCACAAUGCCACAAUGCUAACUUAAUGACUAAGCAGUAGGCUAGCUAUUAUACACACUAUACGAGACUCUUAUUUCAAAGGAUCAUCCAGUACUUUACCUAUCCCUAAGGUUGUAAUUAAGUGCAUCCUGUACAGCUCAACAUAUCCCAUGAUCCUUUGUUUCCCAUUUGAAAUAUCAUUAUGGUGUUUACUAGAUGCUAGCCAAGGUAGAGCGACAAUGGCGGUGCAGGAAAGACUAAUGACGUGGGCUAGAUAGACUCAAUUUAGUUCAGUCUGGCCAUGAAGGCUGAGUCCUAAUGUGUGCGUAACAAGAUAAACAACUUUUAACUUUGUAGAUCUGUGACAUGAUCUGCACAACUACCUGCCACAUAAAAUCCCCAAAGGAUUAGUGAACGUGUCUUCCCAGCUGGAUUUUGACAGACUUGUUUUCUGUGAUUUAUAAGAGGGACUUGGCAGAGCUUGUUUGAACUUACUGCCUGUUUCGACUAACUUCUUCUACUAUGGGGAACAACCACAGACUUUAAAAUCUGCUGACAUAUUUAAUCAACUUUUAUCUUUUAACAGAGUGACUUGAUGGAUCUUAUAAAUGCCAUUAUUUAGUGAAAGAGUUUGAAUAUAUGUUUCAUGGCGUCACCAAGCAGCUCGACUCUAUUUAACUCUGCUGCGAUUUGAUGUCUUCAUAUUUAGGAUAUGCAUCAGUAUUCGACUCCUGGAGGGUACUCUGGAUAUGAGGAGGAGGGUUUUAAGAUUACCCUCCACAGUCUCCUCUCCAUGGCUCCACAAGGGGAUUUCAUCUUCCUCUAGAUACACAUCAAUUAUCACAGUGAAGCCACCUUGGGGCUUCAAGGUUUGAUAAUAAAUUAAGUUCUCUUGAACAUUUUUCAACAUCACCAUGGUCCCUUAUCACCAUCCACGGCAGAUGAGUGUGUGGAGGGAGUUUUUCAGGGCUGAGGUCGGAGGAGAAGUUUCUAGGGUUUUUGACACCGCAGCAACCUCAUACUGUAGACUAUUAAUUAGGGAACAUCGCCGCAUCUCAUCCCCGCCGCCGCUGAGCAUUCACCCCUCCACUGAUCAGAUAAGAGUACACACAUAGAUCAUUUGGCGUUGCUGCUUCACUGAUUACAUCUUCAGCAGCAUUAUGCAAAAGAAGCUCCAUGAAUAAAAUCCAUCUGGGUGGACACAAAGUCUGUAACACCUCAUGUUUUAUUGAUACUUUGCAUGCUAACAGUCGGAGUUCAUCCUUCAAAACAUUUAAUGCUUCAGUUAAUUUCACAGGAUGUCAGCAGGACCUCAGCCUCACCUUCCUUUCCUCCAGGUGUCCUGACAGAUGAUGGAAACUGGAUGAGGAACAGCUUGGUUGUUUGUGUGUGAUUAGGCUUUGGGGCGUGUGCACGAGCGUCUUGGUGGUAUCUCUUCAGCCUCUAUCUUUCUCAUAUUUAUGCUCUCCUCUUCUUCAGUAUGGGUAACGUGCAAUAUAGUACGCUGCCUGUUUGCUUGUGGUCUCCUUGGCAUGUGUUCUGUUUGCAUGGAGGUUAUUGUUAUUGAUGGUGGUUCAAUAGUUUGUGAAUGCAUCUGAGCAUGUGCAGGACUUGACUCAAGAUGGUUUUACAAGGGUAUCAUACCUUGUUACAUAAUACUGAAUCAUGAAAAAGGAUAUAAUAUGAUAUAUAAUUGUCCAUAUUGUAUCAUAUCAUUUCAUUUCAUAUCAUAUUUAUCUAAGUAAACAGUUUUGCAACACGUCAUACAUAUUAUAUCGUACCAAAUCAUUUCUUAUAUCAUAUUGUAUCAUGUAUUGUUGUGUCGUAUUAUAUCAAGUGUUCAACUCCUCAGUAAGGAAAGUCACUAGUGGCUGUCCUAGAGGUCGCUAGAUGACGCCAUCGCCUAAUUUGCAUAGUUUUUAAGAGGGGUCUUCCUUAGGGUGUCUGUAUGUGUGUGUGUGUGUGUGUGUGUGUGUGUGUGUGUGUGUGUGUGUGUGUGUGUGUGUGUAAUUUCGGUGCCCACCUGCUACCCAAAAUCGAUUACCCGCUUUCAUGUCAUCGUCUCCAAACUGCGCAAAAAGUUGCUAGAUUUGUUGAUAGGUGCUUUUUUUAAAAUAAGUCGCUGAAUAAAGUCGCUAGGUUAGCAACACUGAUUGUAUCUUAUUGUAGCUUAGUAUAUAUUAUGUUGUAUUACAUUGUAUCAUAUUGUAUCAUAUCAAAUGAUUUGAUAUUGUUGUAUCCAUAGACUGUAUAUACUAUGGACAACUUGGCUCCGCCUUCCGUCAUUGUACGAAUUUGAAGCCAAAUUGCUCUUGUUACUUCCGGGAUUUUCUCCACUUCCUGGAACCACCACUUGCCCGGUAUCAUUGUACAAAUUCAGCAGGAGAGUCACUGUGAUGACGCUCUGCAAUCUUCGUACACCCAUAGGCUGUAUCACGUGUCAAUCAUAGAAAACAUGAACCCCCUGAUAACUUUUAAAAUUGGAGCUGCACAGAAAAAAAGAGGACUUGAGCACAAACCAGUCUUACAGAAACUACAUGUCAACAUCAGAAAAAUGUAUAUUCUUAAUUUCUAAAGCUUGUCCACAUCGCCAUUAAAUUUGCUGGAGGAGGCGGGACUUAUGACCUAUACUGCAGCCCGUCACCAGAGGGUGCUGUUCUUGCAGAGGCUUCACCCAGUGAGGAGGCAGACAACAACCAUUCUAUAUACAGUCUACGGUCAUAACGAAUCAUGUGGUUUCAUAUCAUAUCAUAUCACAUCACACUGUGUCGCAUUGAAUCCUGUCUUAUUAGUUCAUAUCCGACCUUACUGAACCCUUUUGUAUCUUUUCUUAUUGUAUCCUAUCAACUUAGACUAAGAAUGAGGAGACCUCAAAGUUUCCUAUUAAAUUUCAGCAGGCUGUGGUUGUAUUCAGAAAAACAUCCCCUGCAGAGAGCAAAAUAGGAAGAGCACAUUGGCUGAAAAUAUGAAAUAAAACCAUAAAACAAAAUUCAAAAUCCAGACGAGGAUGAAAUAGUUUUUUGUUCCCAGUGUGAGUCCACCCAUGCUGUGACUCUUUACAUGAGAGACAUUGUAUUUAAACCCUCAUGAGUAACAGGGAAUAAAACAUCCAGGGAGAGACUUUAUUAUUUAGACAAACAAUAUACUGCUGAUACACAAAAUAGAGUGCUUCAAACAUCCUCCUAUGGAGCUCAUGGCUUUGCUCUCAGGUCCAGUCCUCAUUGUUUGGCAGAGCUCAGAAUUGAUAAAGAGGUUUUGCUGGUAUUUUCACAUUUUGCAGAUACCUUUUUUAAGGCAAGAUUUUGAAUUCUUUAACUAAAAAUCUAAGAAAUUCAGCAUCUGCAGAGGAUCUACAGCGUAGUGCUGUGAAAAUGAUAAUGAUACCCUGCACUGAUUGGCUGCCUGGAACAUGUCUGUAGAGGGAGGAUACAGACUGGUGCAGAUGGAUGCGGAGGCAGAAAAAUCACCAAACAAACAGGGCGAGUGCUCAAGAAAAAAACCUGCAUC